AAUUAUCAACCUUGCUCGCUUUUACCGGCUUGAGCUGAGGCUUUGGACGUGGGGGUUUUUGCUGGCUUCCUUCAGUGGAUGGUCUGCUCCCCUUAAAUUCAUUAGCGGGAUCUCUUGUGGACCGUCACUUGGUGUGAUAAUUAUCUAUGCCGUUUGACUUUGAAGCAAAUUUAUGGGACUCUGCUUAUAACCGUCUCUUAUGGGACAAUUUAAUAACA
rnacentral:misc_RNA from 1 species